AUCGACACAACAUCUGGUGGUGUCACGGGCGGGCGCCACUAGAUGUAUGCUCAACUCCGCUGUCGCCGCAGGGGAAGCCGGUGGGAAUCCGGGACUGCCCCGCAACGGUGUGCGGACGCCUGGAGGCGUGCCCGCGAGUCCGAGUACCUGCCGACGGCACCGUCCGGCG
rnacentral:ncRNA from 1 species